UACGAGUGGCGCUAGUGUUACUCUUCAUACUGGGCGUUAAGGGUGCGUAGAUUCAAUAUUAUGUUGUAUUAUGAAAUAACUAUUGAGUAUAGAAUCCAUAUAUAAUACUUAUAUUGAAAUAUUAUUUAGAAGUAGCCGGAACUAUUAGUGAUAGAACUGAAAAGCGGGAUUAAACUAAUAAGAACACCGUAUGCGAAAGCGAGUUACUAUAAAUAAUUUGAUUGAGGCACUAAGGCAUGGGUAUCGAACGGG
rnacentral:rRNA from 1 species